rnacentral:tRNA from 1 species
UGGUUCAGUUUGUAGAGCAUGGUGCUUCCAACACCAGGGUUGUGGGUUCGAUUCCCAC